rnacentral:rRNA from 1 species
GUCUAUGGCCAUGCCACGCUGAAUGUGCCCGAUGUCAUCUUGAUCUUGGAAGCUAAGCAGGGUCGGGCCUGGUUAGUACUUAGAUGGGAGACCACCUUGGAAUACCAGGUGCUGUGGGCA